GAUGAACGCUGACAGAAUGCUUAACACAUGCAAGUCAACUUGAACUUCGGUUUGGGUGGCGGACGGGUGAGUAACGCGUAAAGAACUUGCCUCACAGAUAGGGACAACAUUUGGAAACGAAUGCUAAUACCUGAUAUUAUGAUUAUAUGGCAUCGUAUAAUUAUGAAAGCUAUAUGCGCUGUGAGAGAGCUUUGCGUCCCAUUAGCUAGUUGGAGAGGUAACGGCUCACCAAGGCGAUGAUGGGUAGCCGGCCUGAGAGGGUGAUCGGCCACAAGGGGACUGAGACACGGCCCUUACUCCUACGGGAGGCAGCAGUGGGGAAUAUUGGACAAUGGACCAAGAGUCUGAUCCAGCAAUUCUGUGUGCACGAUGAGGUUUUUCGGAAUGUAAAGUGCUUUCAGUUGGGAAGAAAAAAAUGACGGUACCAACAGAAGAAGUGACGGCUAAAUACGUG
rnacentral:rRNA from 1 species